UGAAGACAUGGCAUCUUUCAACUUACCCAGGAAAUAGCUGCCAUCUAUGUUCAUUGCUGCUGGAGUUACAACAGCCAAGAAAUGGGAAGAGCCUAGAUGUCCAUCAGCUGAUGAACAGAUAAUAGAAAUGCGGUGCAUUUACACACGAGAACAUUAUUCAGCUGGUAAGGAAAAUAAAAGGAGGAAGUUUGCAGAUAAAUUUAUGCAGCUGGUAACCCAGACCUGGGAAGGUAAAUAUCACAUGGAUGCUCUCCUUAGGAGAUGCCAGCUUUGAACCAGCAGAUUAUUACAUCUCUCAACCCUCACCAGAGAAGAUUGUUUCUACAGUACUUGGCUGUUAAUCACAAGACCCACAACUGGUCAAGGUGUAGAGAAUAAGAGAAUGCAGUAGGUUCCACCUUAAAUGAGACGUGUACCACACUCCAGCCUCCUAAGACUCAGGAAUCGUUACCUCAGAAACAGAAAGAUUGCAAAGGUAGUGGGUGACUUAACAAGGAAAGAGCAUCUUCCAGACCCAGCAUGGCAGUUGUACCUAUGAAGUCCUAGUGGUUUUCAUAGCACACACAAGACCUGUAAUAAAUAAAUAAAUAAAUAAAUAAAUAAAUAAAUAAAU
rnacentral:lncRNA from 1 species